rnacentral:lncRNA from 1 species
AUGGUGUGAAAAUACUUUUUGUACAACCAGAGACUUGAAAAAUGGUGCUCUCUACGUCUAAUAUGAAAUGAAUUGCAUUCUGCCAUCACAUAUAACAAAUUAAAAUAAAUAAAUAUUUUAAUAGAAAAGUGAAUAAAUAAACAAGGGGAGGACAUCCACCUUGUUUUCAUGAAAUUAAGAAAUAAAGCCCACAGCAGCCAUGGCAUUGGAAUUUGGCGAGCAUGCCAGUGGCUUUCUCCACAAGGAGGUGGUCCGAUUCAUUAAUAAUGAAGCUCUCCUGAACAGUGGUGGCCCAGAGUUCUACAUGGCCUUUCGCUCUUGUCCUGGAACAAGGUAGAGGAGCGGCUUUGCACUGUGGUGGUGGACUCUCAGGUGCCUCGAGACCUCAAGAGGGAAUGCACCUGAAGUGCCCUUGCCCUGGGCGUGCGAGCGGUGGCCAGGCAGUGGGAGCAGCAGGGGCGUCGUGCCUGUCUGCUGCAGGACCAACUGGAGGAGGGUGAGGCGGCUUGCUGGGCUUUGGCCUCUGAGCUGCAGUGGCUGUAUGAGGACCGUGAUGAUGCUACUACUCAGCUGCACUUCACUCAGGUUGUCUUGCAACAGGCAAUGGGUGAGCGUGAAGUGCUACGUGAGAGACUACCUCAGGCUGAGAGGUCAGCCUUCACAGAUCCAUUGCCCCCAAAGGUUGUACCUGUUAUGGGAGCCCAACAGCAUGGUGCUGUGGCAUGGUCCCUGGAAGGAGAGGAACAGGCAGAGGUGGUAGCGCCUGGAACACAGGGCAUACCACAUUUGGAGGCCCAGAUGCCAGCCCCAGCACCUUUGCUUUAUGUGCCAGGACACCCAAGUCCUUGGCUCCAGGCAAUGCAACCCCAUGUGAAAAUGUCUGUGCCCCAUUCAGUGCCAAUCCCAGUGGGAUUCCCAUACUCAACAUCUCUACAAGCCCCUGUAGUAAUGGAAUCAGAAUCAGCAGGAACAACAGCCACAGCAGUGGCAGCAGUUGCACCCCAGGUGCCUCCUCUAGUGAGCUAUCCACCUGGCUUGUGGGCUCCAGUGGGGUGCCAGGAGGGAAUGUGCCGCAGUCUGGCUGGGCACAAUCAGGAGCCACUUGUCAAAAGAAACUAACUUUAUUUUUAGAACCACACACGCCAAACAAAACAGCCUCUCAGGAAAAACCCUCAGAGCCUCAACAGCCACCACCGGCUUUCCAUAAGCCUCUCUCUCCCACACAAGCUUCUCUCCACCUCCCACAAUCCUCCUGCUCUUGAGGCCGAUUGGCUGGGUCACGUGGGCGGAGCCAAAAAAGUCCCCCAAUGAGCAGCUCCGUGGUCUGAAAGGGCAGGGAAACAGCCCAAUGAGCAUCACCGCAGAGGAGCCAAUCAGCUAGAUGUUGCUGGGGCCGCUGUGAGCCAAUCAUCAGCCGGCAGCUGGAAGUUUGCUGGCAGCUGGAAGUUUGCUGGGGCCCCUUCGGCUGUGGCUCUCAACAUCUCCCCCUCUCUGUUU